ACGGGAGGCAGCAGUGGGGGAUAUUGCACAAUGGGCGAAAGCCUGAUGCAGCAACGCCGCGUGAGGGAAGACGGUUUUCGGAUUGUAAACCUUUGUCAACAGGGACGAAAAUGACGGUACCUGUGAAGGAAGCUCCGGCUAACUACGUGCCAGCAGCCGCGGUAAUACGUAGGGAGCAAGCGUUAUCCGGAAUUACUGGGUGUAAAGGGAGUGUAGGCGGGACUGUAAGUCAGAUGUGAAAUAUGCCGGCUCAACUGGCAGACUGCAUUUGAAACUGCGGUUCUUGAGUGAAGUAGAGGUAAGCGGAAUUCCUAGUGUAGCGGUGAAAUGCGUAGAUAUUAGGAGGAACACCAGUGGCGAAGGCGGCCUGCUGGACGACAACUGACGCUGAGGCGCGAAAGCGUGGGGAGCAAACAGGAUUAGAUACCCUGGUA
rnacentral:rRNA from 1 species